AUAAUUAUGGCUCGCCGAGUUUUUCCGUCUAAGGUUUUUUAAAAGCUAUGACUGAAAAGCCGAUAGGUAGGAGGGGAAACGCUCAUGCCUCCCGUUUGGAAAGGAGAGCAAAAUGUAUGCAA
rfam:Syntrophomonas wolfei subsp. wolfei str. Goettingen, complete genome.